ACCCGCCCCGGGCCGAAUUGGCGGCAGGUGCGGGCGGGGUUGGUGGGGUCACGGCACUGUGCCCGUGUGUGUGUGUGGGCGAGGAGGUGGCUCGAGCAAGGAUUCCUCCCCAUCCGGGGACGCGGCAGGACGCUCCGCAGGGACACACCGGCCGGCUUCCUUGACAGAAACGGUGUAGGCAAAAAGGAAAACCCGGGCCCCGCGGAGGUCAGGAGCGAAUCAAGCAGGCGGGACUGCUGGCACCGCCACAAGGCAGGAUCGUGGCUUUUCAGUAUUUCCACGGACGGGAGAAAUAUCAAAUCUCAUGUUUUAGAAGGAAAUGAUUCUUCUGGAGUCUCCUUGCUAUCUUCCUGCUAAGUUUGAGCAGAGAAGCCUCAUUUCUACAUCGAAGUCCGUUCAGGUUCCAUACUAAGCAGUACAAGAUGAGGAGAGGCACUGCCACAGAACUGAGCAGAGUACAGCUGAACACAGCUUAGUGCCUGCACCACUGGAAACCACGUGUUAGCCUCAGGACAUGAGAGAUGUGCUUCAGCACUACAAAGCCUGCCACUAGGUUCACACUGACAGGUACCUUCACUGAGGCAGAGGAAAUGGGGCUGCUAUUCAAAAGCUAGUCAGCAAAAGUGAAGUGGCAUGGGUUGGAAUUAAAAAAGAUAAAGUUGUAUUGCAGGGCUGUCAAAAACUCAUUUCCCUACUGGGAGGGAUGAAUUAGUGGAUUUCACAGCCAGUGCCCACUACUUAACAUAUUAGCAAGGUCAUGUUCUGUCCCUACAAUAGAUAAAAAGACAUUGAACUGUAUCAACAGCUGAACUGGAAUCUGAAGUACUCUUUAAAAUUUGCAGAUGGCAACAGUGAGCUGAAAAUCUACUUCAAGCAUUUUGUGAUGAAUGUUUUAAGAACUACACAAGCACUUUUAUUUUCAUACAGAAACCAUUUUCCUCAUCAUUACUUACGUGAAAUCUGGUCACUGUGGAGAGUUUGCUUCUGCAAUACCUUACAUACAUUUUGUACUCUUGGAAUUGUAGAUGCUUGAUAAAGUCUUUACCUUUAUUAUCACAUUCCCCUUACAUUUAUUGUAAAAUUAUUUUGAAUAAAGGUAACCAUUAGCAUGUCAGAUUGUAGGAAGCAUUCUAUAGCUAGCAGUUAUCCUUUAGAGAUCAAUUGUGAUCUCAGUUUAAGACUCCCAAGUAAAUUCCUAAUCAAGACAGUGUCCAAACAGACAUUGCUAAUGGGACUGGGAAAUAAAGGACUUGGGCAGGAGGGGGAAAAAAAAAGGCAGUUCCCUCCCAGCCAGUCCCAUGGUCCCUUGCACCAACAGCCAUGGUGGGCUUAAUCCAGGGAGCAGGGACAUCAUAGAACAGGCAUGAUCUCCACAAAGCUGCCUCUCCAACAGGCCUUUUAUAAGUAAUACUGUAAGGCCACAUAAUUUUGAUUUAAAACCGGUGCUUACCAACAAUGGUAAGAGUUAGUGAGAACUGGGAACAGUGUGUGCCAGAAUGAUUCAAUGACCGAGCCUGGGAAAGGGCACAGCCUCUUC